rnacentral:rRNA from 1 species
GAGUUAUCUGAACCUUCGGGGGACGAUAACGGCGUCGAGCGGCGGACGGGUGAGUAAUGCCUAGGAAAUUGCCCUGAUGUGGGGGAUAACCAUUGGAAACGAUGGCUAAUACCGCAUAAUACCUUCGGGUCAAAGAGGGGGACCUUCGGGCCUCUCGCGUCAGGAUAUGCCUAGGUGGGAUUAGCUAGUUGGUGAGGUAAUGGCUCACCAAGGCGACGAUCCCUAGCUGGUCUGAGAGGAUGAUCAGCCACACUGGAACUGAGACACGGUCCAGACUCCUACGGGAGGCAGCAGUGGGGAAUAUUGCACAAUGGGCGCAAGCCUGAUGCAGCCAUGCCGCGUGUGUGAAGAAGGCCUUCGGGUUGUAAAGCACUUUCAGUCGUGAGGAAGGUAGUGUAGUUAAUAGCUGCAUUAUUUGACGUUAGCGACAGAAGAAGCACCGGCUAACUCCGUGCCAGCAGCCGCGGUAAUACGGAGGGUGCGAGCGUUAAUCGGAAUUACUGGGCGUAAAGCGCAUGCAGGUGGUUUGUUAAGUCAGAUGUGAAAGCCCGGGGCUCAACCUCGGAAUAGCAUUUGAAACUGGCAGACUAGAGUACUGUAGAGGGGGGUAGAAUUUCAGGUGUAGCGGUGAAAUGCGUAGAGAUCUGAAGGAAUACCGGUGGCGAAGGCGGCCCCCUGGACAGAUACUGACACUCAGAUGCGAAAGCGUGGGGAGCAAACAGGAUUAGAUACCCUGGUAGUCCACGCCGUAAACGAUGUCUACUUGGAGGUUGUGGCCUUGAGCCGUGGCUUUCGGAGCUAACGCGUUAAGUAGACCGCCUGGGGAGUACGGUCGCAAGAUUAAAACUCAAAUGAAUUGACGGGGGCCCGCACAAGCGGUGGAGCAUGUGGUUUAAUUCGAUGCAACGCGAAGAACCUUACCUACUCUUGACAUCCAGAGAACUUUCCAGAGAUGGAUUG